rnacentral:pre_miRNA from 1 species
AUACUACUCCCUUCGUUUCGAAUUACUUGUCGCGGGUAUGGAUGUAUCUAGAUGUAUUUUAAUUUUAGAUAAAUCCAUUUCUGUGACGAGUAAUUUGAAACGAAGGAAGUACAAU